UACGAAGGGGACUAGCGUUGUUCGGAAUCACUGGGCGUAAAGCGCACGUAGGCGGAUUCGUAAGUUAGGGGUGAAAUCCCGGGGCUCAACCUCGGAACUGCCUUUGAUACUGCGGGUCUCGAGUCCGAUAGAGGUGGGUGGAAUUCCUAGUGUAGAGGUGAAAUACGUAGAGAUUGGGAAGAACACCAGUGGCGAAGGCGGCUAUCUGGACGGUUUCUGACACUAAGACUCGAAAGCGUGGGGAGCAAACAGG
rnacentral:rRNA from 1 species